GCCAGGUGCUGGGGGGUACACCUGUAAUCCCAGCAGCUCAGAAGGCUGAAGCAGGAGGAUCGCAAGUUCAAAACCAGCCUCAGCAACUUAGCAAGGCCCUAAGCAACUCAGUGAGACCCUGUUUCUA
rnacentral:sRNA from 1 species